UACAUAGGGUGCAAGCGUUAAUCGGAAUUACUGGGCGUAAAGCGCGCGUAGGUGGUUUGUUAAGUUGGAUGUGAAAUCCCCGGGCUCAACCUGGGAACUGCAUUCAAAACUGACAAGCUAGAGUAUGGUAGAGGGUGGUGGAAUUUCCUGUGUAGCGGUGAAAUGCGUAGAUAUAGGAAGGAACACCAGUGGCGAAGGCGACCACCUGGACUGAUACUGACACUGAGGUGCGAAAGCGUGGGGAGCAAACAGG
rnacentral:rRNA from 1 species